GUGGAAGCAGCUACGAGGAGAAAUUCCUGUUCAACUAGUCGGUCCAGAAGCGGAAGUUUUGGAAGUGUGGCAGAACAAAAUCGAGAACGCUUUUCAGAUCCAGCUUUCGCAAACCACUUCUCGGACUUAUUAAAAGCAGGAGUAAGGAAGCAACAGGAAAUAAACCUGCUCAAAUUUUUGGAAAGCCACUCUGAAGAGAUACAAUCAACUUUAAUUUGGCUUGCGAUCCAUUCAGUGUUGGUGCCGACAGCAAGAACAAAAAAGGACGGCGGGAGCAAGAACGCAA